rnacentral:rRNA from 2 species
UAGGGAAUCUUCCGCAAUGGGCGAAAGCCUGACGGAGCAACGCCGCGUGAGUGAUGAAGGUCUUCGGAUCGUAAAACUCUGUUAUUAGGGAAGAACAAAUGUGUAAGUAACUAUGCACGUCUUGACGGUACCUAAUCAGAAAGCCACGGCUAACUACGUGCCAGCAGCCGCGGUAAUACGUAGGUGGCAAGCGUUAUCCGGAAUUAUUGGGCGUAAAGCGCGCGUAGGCGGUUUUUUAAGUCUGAUGUGAAAGCCCACGGCUCAACCGUGGAGGGUCAUUGGAAACUGGAAAACUUGAGUGCAGAAGAGGAAAGUGGAAUUCCAUGUGUAGCGGUGAAAUGCGCAGAGAUAUGGAGGAACACCAGUGGCGAAGGCGACUUUCUGGUCUGUAACUGACGCUGAUGUGCGAAGCGUGGGGAUCAAACAGG